GGCUCGAUGGUCUAGGGGUAUGAUUCUCGCUUUGGGUGCGAGAGGUCCCGGAUUCAAAUCCCGGUCGAGCCC
rnacentral:tRNA from 1 species